rnacentral:rRNA from 1 species
CACGGGGGGAGCAAGCGUUGUUCGGAAUCACUGGGCGUAAAGGGCGUGCAGGCGGUCAGGUAAGUGGGAUGUGAAAUGCCCCGGCUCACCCGGGGACCGGCACCUCAUACUGCUUGGCUUGAGUACGGGAGAGGAUGUGGGAAUUCCUGGUGUAGCGGUGAAAUGCGUAGAUAUCUGGAGGAAUACCGGUGGCGAAGGCGGCAUCCUGGACCGGCAUUGACGCUGAGGAGCGAAAGCUAGGGGAGCAAACGGG